GAUGAACGCUGGCGGCGUGCCUAAUACAUGCAAGUCGAGCGAACAGAUAAGGAGCUUGCUCCUUUGACGUUAGCGGCGGACGGGUGAGUAACACGUGGGUAACCUACCUAUAAGACUGGAAUAACUCCGGGAAACCGGGGCUAAUGCCGGAUAACAUUUAGAACCGCAUGGUUCUAAAGUGAAAGAUGGUUUUGCUAUCACUUAUAGAUGGACCCGCGCCGUAUUAGCUAGUUGGUAAGGUAACGGCUUACCAAGGCAACGAUACGUAGCCGACCUGAGAGGGUGAUCGGCCACACUGGAACUGAGACACGGUCCAGACUCCUACGGGAGGCAGCAGUAGGGAAUCUUCCGCAAUGGGCGAAAGCCUGACGGAGCAACGCCGCGUGAGUGAUGAAGGUCUUCGGAUCGUAAAACUCUGUUAUUAGGGAAGAACGAAUGUGUAAGUAACUGUGCACGUCUUGACGGUACCUAAUCAGAAAGCCACGGCUAACUACGUG
rnacentral:rRNA from 1 species